AUUGAACGCUGGCGGCAGGCCUAACACAUGCAAGUCGAGCGGAGCGGCGGACGGGUGAGUAAUGCCUAGGAAUCUGCCUGGUAGUGGGGGAUAACGUCCGGAAACGGGCGCUAAUACCGCAUACUAUCAGAUGAGCCUAGGUCGGAUUAGCUAGUUGGUGGGGUAAAGGCCUACCAAGGCGACGAUCCGUAACUGGUCUGAGAGGAUGAUCAGUCACACUGGAACUGAGACACGGUCCAGACGCCUACGUGAGGCAGCAGUGGGGCAUAUUGCACAAUGGGCGCAAGCCUGAUUCAUCCAUGCCGCGUGUGUGAAGAAGUUCUUCUGGUUGUAAAGCACUUUAAGCUGGGAGGCGUUACCCGCAGAAUAAGCACCGGCUAACUUCGUGCCAGCAGCCGCGGUAAUUC
rnacentral:rRNA from 1 species